GACGAACGCUGGCGGCGUGCUUAACACAUGCAAGUCGAACGCUGAAGCCCAGCUUUUGUUGGGUGGAUGAGUGGCGAACGGGUGAGUAACACGUGAGUAACCUGCCUCCUUCUUUGGGAUAACGCCCGGAAACGGGUGAUAAUACUGGAUAUUCACUGGUCUUCGCAUGGGGGUUGGUGGAAAGGGUUUUUCUGGUGGGGGAUGGGCUCGCGGCCUAUCAGCUUGUUGGUGGGGUGAUGGCCUACCAAGGCUUUGACGGGUAGCCGGCCUGAGAGGGUGACCGGUCACAUUGGGACUGUGAUACGGCCGAGACUCCUACGAGAGGCAGCAGUGGGGAAUAUGGCACAAUGGGCGCAAGCCUGAUGCAGCGACGCCGCGGGAGGGAUGGGGGCCUUCGGGUUGUGAACCUCUUUCGCUCAUGGUCAAGCCGCAACAAUGGUUGUGGUGAGGGUAGUGGGUAAAGAAGCGCCGGCUAACUACGUG
rnacentral:rRNA from 1 species